UACGUAGGGUGCAAGUGUUAAUCGGAAUUACUGGGCGUAAAGCGUGCGCAGGCGGCGCGUUAAGACAGGUGUGAAAGCCCCGAGCUUAACUUGGGAAUUGCGCUUGUGACUGGCGGGCUGGAGUGUGGCAGGGGGAGGUGGAAUUCCACGUGUAGCAGUGAAAUGCGUAGAGAUGUGGAGGAACACCGAUGGCGAAGGCAGCCUCCUGGGCCAGCACUGACGCUCAUGCACGAAAGCGUGGGGAGCAAACAGG
rnacentral:rRNA from 1 species